UAAAAUGGAGACACAUGUAUGUAAAGUAAAUAGACUAUGUACCUAACUUGACUAUGUGUAAAAACUAUCUAGAAACUGGUACAUGUUUCACUUCGUUAAGAAUAGGGUUUAUGUCUAAGCAAAGUUACUUACGGAUCAAAUACAACACCUCCAGCUUCUCUAACAAUGACAGCACCACCUGCCACAUCCCUGGAAAGAGAC
rnacentral:lncRNA from 1 species